rnacentral:rRNA from 1 species
ACCCGCUGAACUUAAGCAUAUCAAUAAGCGGAGGAAAAGAAACCAACAGGGAUUGCCCUAGUAACGGCGAGUGAAGCGGCAACAGCUCAAAUUUGAAAUCUGGCGUCUUUGGCGUCCGAGUUGUAAUUUGCAGAGGGCGCUUUGGCAUUGGCAGCGGUCCAAGUUCCUUGGAACAGGACGUCACAGAGGGUGAGAAUCCCGUACGUGGUCGCUAGCCUUUACCGUGUAAAGCCCCUUCGACGAGUCGAGUUGUUUGGGAAUGCAGCUCUAAAUGGGAGGUAAAUUUCUUCUAAAGCUAAAUACUGGCCAGAGACCGAUAGCGCACAAGUAGAGUGAUCGAAAGAUGAAAAGCACUUUGGAAAGAGAGUUAAAAAGCACGUGAAAUUGUUGAAAGGGAAGCGCUUGCAGCCAGACUUGCCUGUAGUUGCUCAUCCGGGUUUUUACCCGGUGCACUCUUCUAUAGGCAGGCCAGCAUCAGUUUGGGCGGUUGGAUAAAGGUCUCUGCCAUGUACCUCUCUUCGGGGAGAACUUAUAGGGGAGACGACAUGCAACCAGCCCGGACUGAGGUCCGCGCAUCUGCUAGGAUGCUGGCGUAAUGGCUGU